GCCAGUACGUCUUCCAGAUUAUACCGAUUCUUCUACGACCAAAAUCAACCGAGUCAUCAAACUUAACAGUACCGAUCCCACAGUAUAUCCCAUCAUUGAUCCGAAGUUUCUCUCGAACGAGGCCGAUUGGGAUGUUGCCAUUGCUGGUGCUCGUCUGGCCGUGCAGACUUUUCAAACGGAAGCAAUGAAGGGAGCCAAUGUGACGUUGUUCGACAUCCCUGUUCCUGGCUGUGAGACGGCGGGUGCGUUGUGGAGCGACACCUACCUACGUUACCUCGUGCGGCAGACGGCGCACAGCGGAUGGCAUCCGUGUUGCACAGCGCCGAUGGGCACCCACCCCGCAGCGGUGCUGGAUGCGAGGCUCAGGGUUCGCACAGUCAGUAGACUUCGUGUCGCCGAUGCGUCGUCGAUGCCCAUGGAAUUAUCCGGCAACCUUAAUAUUCCCAUGAUGAUGCUCGGAACGAAGGCCGCCGCAAUGAUAAUGGAAGAUAACGCUUAAGCAAAAGGAGCAGCCGAAGGCGAGCACACAGAAGGAAGCGCGUCUAAACGUCUCCGCAAGAAUAACCUUGCUUUCAUGAGAGCAAGGGGCCCGAAAUUGAAAUGCAUACCUACCUGCAAUGUUCGUUUCACUGGA